GACGAACGCUGGCGGCGUGCUUAACACAUGCAAGUCGAACGGAAAGGCCCUGCUUUUGUGGGGUGCUCGAGUGGCGAACGGGUGAGUAACACGUGAGUAACCUGCCCUUGACUUUGGGAUAACUUCAGGAAACUGGGGCUAAUACCGGAUAGGAGCUCCUGCUGCACGGUGGGGGUUGGAAAGUUUCGGCGGUUGGGGAUGGACUCGCGGCUUAUCAGCUUGUUGGUGGGGUAGUGGCUUACCAAGGCUUUGACGGGUAGCCGGCCUGAGAGGGUGACCGGCCACAUUGGGACUGAGAUACGGCCCAGACUCCUGCGGGAGGCAGCAGUGGGGAAUAUUGCGCAAUGGGCGGAAGCCUGAUGCAGCAACGCCGCGUGCGGGAUGACGGCCUUCGGGUUGUAAACCGCUUUCGCCUGUGACGAAGCGUGAGUGACGGUAAUGGGUAAAGAAGCACCGGCUAACUACGUG
rnacentral:rRNA from 1 species